CAGAGGGAGCUUCUACCUUUACACUUUAGCCGCAUAGGAAGGCAUCCCCCAUCCCCCUCUUACUAAAACUAACCAUCAGCAGUAACAAAAACUGCUAUUUUGCUAGAUGCGAUUGAAACAAUGUGAGAAUAAAUAAACACAACCAAAGAAUUCCCAAGCUAAACAAAAGUUAGACAACCUAACAAGCCCAAAGUAGAUUGUUCCAAAGGAUAACUCCAUUCAGGUUAAUGAUCCUGCCCAGUGCGGAAGAGGAAGGCAUUCUGGGAAGGUGCUUCAGAGGUUCUGAGGCAGAAGGACUGGCCUGAAGACACUCUCCCAAGCACUCGUCUACCCUCACAUACUCAGUUAUCCACUACUAACAGAUGUCCACUCAACCUCUAAAUAUUUAGAAGAUGUGAAAGUACCACAUGGGACCCACUAUAAGUCCUGCUAUAUAGGACAGACGACUUCAAGUGAUGCAACUGGGAAUCAAUCCACAGUGGACCACCGAGGCAACAGCUAACUCUCCUUACCAAC